rnacentral:lncRNA from 1 species
AUGACGUCAGCUGCUGAAAUCUGCUCCCAGUCUGUGAAAUCAGGCUGGGUACGUGCUGUCUCCCACCCCUUCUCCUGCCUGCGUGGAUGCUGCGUCUCCCUGGGCAGAGCUGCUCUCCCACGAGGUUUUCCAUGCUGCCUUAGCCUUGAAGAACUCCUCUGCAGCUGGCGCCCACACCAGCCAGCAAUGCCUGAAAGGGAACCUUCUGAGGCACAGCAUUUCUGGCAUAUUUUCUGCUUGCCAUCUGUCUGCAGGGAACCAUCCUCAGGGCAGGAGCCUCCUGUGUCACAGGUGAAGAAUAUUCCCCGCAGAGGUUUUCAAAAUAGUGAACAGCCCCCACCCUGUCCUGCAGACAGUGAAAAGCCUCUUCUGGACUGAGCAGUGCCAUGGUAUGUUUGGAUACCUCAUCUCCACAGUACAAGGUACUUCAUAAAUUCAACUGUAUUUCAUGAGCUCAUUAGGAAAGCAAACAGAAAACCUUGGCAAAUAAAGGCUCAAUUUCCUCUGUGCA